rnacentral:tRNA from 1 species
GGGUCUAGCUCAGUGCUGGAGCGCAUGCUUAGAAUGCAUGAGGUCCUGGGUUCAAUCCUCAGUACCUG